rnacentral:rRNA from 1 species
CAGCUCCAAUAGCGUAUAUUAAAGUUGUUGCGGUUAAAAAGCUCGUAGUUGGUUCUGCGUGCCACGCUGUCGGUUCACCGCCUGUCGGUGCAACUGGCAUGCCGUGGCAUGUCCUGUCGGUGGCUGACAGGCUUCGCGGCGCGCCCUAUGCGUUCAUACGUGUAGGCAGUUGCGCCGCGUCGUCCUUGUAGGCCGGCUCAAUCCUACCGCGGUGCUCUUUGCCGAGUGUCGAGGUAGGCCGACACUGUUUACUUUGAACAAAUUAGAGUGCUUCAAGCAGGCUCUGAAAGCAGCCUGAAUAGUGGUGCAUGGAAUAAUGGAACAGGACCUUGGUUCUAUUUUGUUGGUUUUCGGAAUCCAAGGUAAUGAUCAAUAAGGACAGGCGGGGGCAUUCGUAUUGCGACGUUAGAGGUGAAAUUCUUGGAUCGUCGCAAGACGCACUAGAGCGAAAGCAUUUGCCAAGUAUGUCUUAAUUGAUCAAGAACGAAAGUUAGAGGUUCGAAGGCGAUCAGAUACCGCCCUAGUUCUAACCAUAAACGAUGCCAGCCAGCGAUCCGCCGAUGUUCCUCCGAUGACUCGGCGGGGAGCUUCCCCCGGGAAACCAAAGCUUUUGGGUUCCGGGGGAAGUAUGGUUGCAAAGCUGAAACUUAAAGGAAUUGACGGAAGGGCACCACAAGGAGUGGAGCCUGCGGCUUAAUUUGACUCAACACGGGAAACCUCACCAGGCCCGGACAUUGGAAGGAUUGACAGAUCGAUAGCUCUUUCUCGAUUCAGUGGGUAGUGG